rnacentral:rRNA from 1 species
ACGAACGCGGCGGCGUGCUUAAACACAUGCAAGUCGAACGGUAAGGCUCCAGCUUGCUGGGGUACACGAGUGGCGAACGGGCGAGUAACACGUGGGUGACCUGCCCUGCACUUCGGGAUAAGCCUGGGAAACUGGGUCUAAUACCGGAUAGGACCGCACCGUGAGGGUGUGGUGGAAAGUUUUUCCGGUGUGGGAUGGGCCCGCGGCCUAUCAGCUUGUUGGUGGGGUAAUGGCCUACCAAGGCGGCGACGGGUAGCCGGCCUGAAGGGUGGACGGCACAUUGGGACUGAACACGGCCCAGACUCCUACGGGAGGCAGCAGUGGGGAAUAUUGCACAAUGGGCGGAAGCCUGAUGCAGCGACGCCGCGUGGGGGAUGACGGCCUUCGGGUUGUAAACUCCUUUCACCAUCGACGAAGGGUUUCUGACGGUACAUGGAGAAGAAGCACCGGUAACUACGUGCCAGCAGCCGCGGUAACUACGUAGGGUGCGAGCGUUGUCCGGAAUUACUGGGCGUAAAGAGCUCGUAGGUGGCAGUCGCGUCGUCCUGUGGAAAUUCCGGGGCUUAACUCCGGGCGUGCAGGCGAUACCGGGCAUAACUUGAGGUACUGUAGGGGACACUGGACUUCCUGGUGUACGAUGAAAUCGCGCAGAUAUCAGGAGGACCACCGGUGGCCGAAGCGGGUACUCUGGGCAGAAACUGACGCUGAGGAGCGAAAGGCAUGGGGAGGCGAACAGGAUUCAGAUA